GACGUAGGCGGCGAGCGUUGUCCGGAUUCAUUGGGCGUAAAGAGCACGCAGGCGGUUUGGCAAGUCGGAUGUGAAAACCCGGAGCUCAACUCCGGACCUGCAUCCGAAACUGCCCGACUAGAGGUAGGUAGGGGAGAUCGGAAUUCCUGGUGUAGCGGUGAAAUGCGCAGAUAUUAGAAGGAACGCCGGUGGCGAAAGCGACACACUGGACCUUGUCUGACGCUGAGGCACGAAAGCCAGGGGAGCAAACGGG
rnacentral:rRNA from 1 species